AAAUUGAAGAGUUUGAUCAUGGCUCAGAUUGAACGCUGGCGGCAGGCCUAACACAUGCAAGUCGAACGGUAACAGGAAGCAGCUUGCUGCUUUGCUGACGAGUGGCGGACGGGUGAGUAAUGUCUGGGAAACUGCCUGAUGGAGGGGGAUAACUACUGGAAACGGUGGCUAAUACCGCAUAACGUCGCAAGACCAAAGAGGGGGACCUUCGGGCCUCUUGCCAUCAGAUGUGCCCAGAUGGGAUUAGCUUGUUGGUGAGGUAACGGCUCACCAAGGCGACGAUCCCUAGCUGGUCUGAGAGGAUGACCAGCCACACUGGAACUGAGACACGGUCCAGACUCCUACGGGAGGCAGCAGUGGGGAAUAUUGCACAAUGGGCGCAAGCCUGAUGCAGCCAUGCCGCGUGUAUGAAGAAGGCCUUCGGGUUGUAAAGUACUUUCAGCGGGGAGGAAGGUGUUGUGGUUAAUAACCACAGCAAUUGACGUUACCCGCAGAAGAAGCACCGGCUAACUCCGUGCCAGCAGCCGCGGUAAUACGGAGGGUGCAAGCGUUAAUCGGAAUUACUGGGCGUAAAGCGCACGCAGGCGGUCUGUCAAGUCGGAUGUGAAAUCCCCGGGCUCAACCUGGGAACUGCAUUCGAAACUGGCAGGC
rnacentral:rRNA from 1 species